rnacentral:piRNA from 1 species
CAGCAAAAAGCCAUUCGAUCCACACAAAUU